rnacentral:lncRNA from 1 species
AAUGGUGAUGGAACAGUUAUUUGUGGCUGUGCUAAUGAUGUCUGCACACCUAGCAGUCUCAUAUCCUCUGACUACAGAGAGCUAUUACAUGGAUGGAGGGAGACAAUGCAGACUGUGUCCACCAGGUCAUUAUCAGAAGUCCUGUUCAGAGUGCUCUCCCUGUCGAGAUGGUUCCUACACAACACGAUUGAAUGCAGAGUCCAGUUGUCAUUCCUGUUUCAAAGACUGCAAACGUGAUUUGCACCUGGUGGAGGAUGAGCCGUGUACUUUUGUAUCGAACGCUAGAUGUCGCUGUGAGGCUGGUUUUACCUGCACCGACAAAGACGACCAGACAGGAAACUGUAGAGACUGUGAGAAGAUCCCUCAGCUGCCCCCACCUCCCCUGCCACCUAGCGAUGUAGUGGGCAUCAGAAACAACCAGACAGGAACUUCCUCUGAACACAGCAGAACUUCCUCUCCCGCUGGACGCUGUCAACCUCCCAACUGUGACACUCCACGAUCACCAGUCUCACAAGCAGGCAAUGCCACUCAUCACACCACAGCUGACACCAGCAAACACUUGGCAGCCAUUUUGUGUCCUAUGGUGGUCAUUGGAAUCCUAGCUGUUAUCAUUCUGUUAUGUAUCCGUCGCCCAGGAGAUGAAGCCUGUUUCAAACAAGCUCUCAAGUUCUGUAACAAGGGAGUAAGAGAAGCGUCGCCUAACAAGACCAAAGAGCCAACUCCUCAGCACCGUGCCAGAGAGACACAGCCCAGUAUUAAGCACCAGGCAGUGGAUCCACCACCUAUUACAGCAGCAAAUAUGGGCCCAGUCCAUGUCCACAAUGCUGGAACAGUCAUCUUCAGUUUACUCAACCAGUUCACUGGUAUGGGUGGAGGGACGGAAGAGAGAGGGCAGAAAGAGAGGGAUGAGGAAGGAUGUCCGGCCCACCCCACACCCUCCCCUAACAUCCAUCUAUCCCAGGAGGAAAGGGAUGGGGAGAUGGACUGUGUAUUCUUCCCUUCACAGGAACAAGGGAAGGACAGUCACGUUUCCAAAGAAGAGGUGCAAUGAGGGGAGGGGGAUUGAGGACAGAGGAAGCUCCAAGUGAAAGCUUCCCUUCUAGGAUCAGUUUAGCCAACCCUACAUCCUAAUGUUAAUCAUAAGGAGGAUUACAACUUACCCGGAUCAGUGGUAAGGGACAACAUCUACCUGGGGCUCUAUUCAGUCUGUAUCACUACAGAUUGCAUGAUAGAAACAUAGAGGUCAUUUCUGAUUGAGCUGACAUAUGUGUUUAAUGUGAAAGCAGUUGACGCAGGAACAUUGCCUUUACAUUUCUUUCAGGCUGUAAAGCUGAACUUCCACAAUACAGAUUGAAUAGAGCCUUUUUUUUUAUUUAACUAGGCAAGUCAGUUAAGAACAAGUUCUUAUUUUCAAUGACAGCCUAGGAACAGUGGGUUAACUGCCUUGUUCAGGGGUAGAACGACAGAUUUUUACCUUGUCACCUCAGGGAUUCGAUCUUGCAACCUUGUGGUUACUAGUCCAACACUCUAACCACUAGGCCACCUGCCACUCUUACUCUCAGAACACCGGUGAAUCCCAAAACUCUAGAAUGGCCAUUAUUUCCUGUCCUAGACCUAGACAGAUCUAGACAUCUUACUAUGGUGGUCAUGUACACAUCCACUUGCUCUCCUUUUAUUGAACUGUGUAAAAAGCUUUCAGUCUCAACUGCUGCAAACUGUUUUUUUCUGUUUUCAUGUGGCACCUUGAACUGUUUUUGCACAAAUUAAAAGCAAAAUAUGAAAUAUAAUUUUUCAAUGAAUACAGGUGAUGGGGCGAUUGUAUGACAUUACAGUAGGCCUGUAACAUUUGUGAUUCUGUUCUUUAUUUAAAAUACAGCACUGUAUGUUUUAAACAGCCACUACUAUGUAAGAGUAAACACUAGCAUAAAGCAUAGAUACAGCAAAAAGCAUAAUAAUUGUAAUGAAGGUGUAAAACAUCUUCAACAUAAACAUGUACAGUACAUGUAUUCAGCACACAAAUGACUGUGUGUGUGUGUGUGUGUGUCUCUGUCUGUCUGUCUGUCUGUCUGUCUGUCUGUCUGUCUGUCUGUCUGUCUGUCUGUCUGUCUGUCUGUCUGUCUGUCUGUCUGUCUGUCUGUCUCUCUCGUUCACACUCUUCCAGUUACUCUCCGCUCUUUCUCGGUCACAGACUCCCACUCAUCUUUAGCCUGUGUCUUCAUACUUCAAAGUGUCCUUUUGUCCUAUUUUCUUGUCCUUUCUGAAAGUCCUAGAUACAAAAGCCACUGCAUUAAAACAAUACAGCAGCUUGUCUAGCCUUCAGGUUAGUUUAACUUCAAUGGGAAUGUGAGGUAGUCUGUUUGUCUCCCGGGUCUCCCAGCUCGCUGUCCCAUUGUGAGUUCUCAUCCUCUCCUUUGACACCGACUUCCUCCAUCAUACGUCCAGUAGCAGCUCUGGCUUUCCACACACUUCCUGGACCGGCAUGGGCACUUCCUCCUCCGCUGUGCUCUGAUUGGCUGGAGUUGUCUUUUUGGGAGACCAGAAGCCUGAUGGGCCAAUAAGAUGAGGGUUAGGUCAAAUGUGCGUAUGUAUUGUGUUCAAAAGAACUACAGGACAGAUCAACAGUGACGUGGACUUACUGUUUGUUGAACCAAUCCAUCGCAGAACAGGUUUGAGCUUUGAGAUGGCAACAAGGCAGGUGAGCAGUAGACACACACACACUGCAGACACACACACCGGGAGCCACUUGCUAUCAUCUGUUUGUGUGUGUAUGAGAGAGAGAGGGGAGUAGAGAGAGAGAGGUCAGGGCCAUAAAACACAUGAACACCAGCAUUGUAUAAGGUUUUGGGUUUUGUGAGAGAGAGAACUAUGCAGCUCUCAUGGCAUUUUUACAUGUCACUUUGAACACUUUCAGGCCAUUUUCAUCAUUUGUAUCCAUUGUAUUUUAGUUUACCUUGGUUUGGUUUUGUGCUGUGCCCAGUACCAGGUUUGGUGACAGGUUUAGGUAUAUGAUUAGGGAUACCAGGCACCGAGUGGUUUGACGCUGUAGCUGGCAUGAUCGGAGGUGUCGGUAUGAGUUUGGGUGUUUUCGGGCUGGGGAUCUCCUCACAGUCCAGACAGGUGCCACUGCCUCUGCAGCGGUAGCCUGGUUUACAGCUGCACACAUCAUUCUGCUUGGUGGAACAGCGGGAUACAUACUGCAGCUCUGUAACGGAACACAAGUCAUAGGUGGUCUAUUUGUUUAUGUGCCUUCAUGUAUACUGACUUUGACAUAGUGUUUUUGUCACAUAGUCAAACACAAUCUGAAAUCAUGCCUGAAUAUGAUGAAAUAACUCAUCUUCAAAAUGACUCAUAGGACCUUGUUAAAUCAGGUUUUGACUCACAACGAACUGAAGUGUAUAUUACCGUCUGACCCCACCCUUCACACACACACACACACACACACACACACACACACACACACACACACACACACACACACACACACACACACACACACACACACACAGCAGUCUUUUCACUAGACUGAACGUCAGUUAACGUGUUCACUGAGUCUGUGGCUACUCUCAAACCUCUCUCACCUCUG